AGAACGAACGCUGGCGGCAUGCCUAAUACAUGCAAGUCGAACGAACUCUUCGGAGUUAGUGGCGCACGGGUGCGUAACGCGUGGGAAUCUGCCCCUUGGUUCGGAAUAACAGUUGGAAACGACUGCUAAUACCGGAUGAUGAACGAAAGUCCAAAGACUUAUCGCCAAGGGAUGAGCCCGCGUAGGAUUAGCUAGUUGGUGGAGGUAAAGGC
rnacentral:rRNA from 1 species